GAACCACAGUUUGAAUCAGCCAAGGGAACUUAUCAGAGGAACGGGCAGAUGACACAGUAAAUGCCUGGGAGAAGGGGUAUGAGGAUUCUGGGUUGUAACAGCCAGAAACCCAACUCUCCCCAGCAUAAAUAAUAAUAAUAAAAAGAAGUUGCCAGGUCAUGGAACUGGGUGAUCCAGGAGGGGCCCAGCUGGAUUCUGGGGGCUCAACUGUGGUUAUUAGGGUUCUCCUCUUGGGGAUUUCUCAUCUGAGUAUCUGUAACCUUGAGCACAUUUUUUUUUAAAAUUUUUUUAAAGAUUUUAUUUAUUUAUUUAAUUGACAGAGGGAGAGACAGCGAGAGAGGGAACACAAGCAGGGGGAGUGGGAGAGGGAGAAGCAGGCUUCCCGCCGAGCAGAGAGCCCGAUGUGGGGCUCAAUCCCAGGACCUUGGGAUCAUGACCUGAGCCGAAGGCAGUCGCCUAACCAACUGAGCCACCCAGGAGCCCCACCUUGAGCACAUUUUUAACUUUUUAUCGAUCUUUAACAUAAUAUGCAGAGAAGUACACUCAUCAACAACAUACAGUCUCCUCGAUUCACAGACUGACCCAGUCAUGCAGCCAGCUCCCAGAUUGAUAAACAGAGCAUCCCCAGCCCCCCAGAAGUCCCCUUGGGCCCCCUCGCAAACACUGCCCCCCACAGCAACCACUCCCUUGACUUCUCACACCAUAGAAUAGGUAAAUCAGAGGUCGGCAAACUGGUUCCCUAAAGGGCCACUUAGUAAAUACUUUAGACUUUGUGAGCCACCCCAUCUCUGUCCCAACUAACUCGGACACUCCUACAAAAGUGGCCACAGACAGUGCAUACAGGACCAAGCCUGCCUGUGCUCAGUAAACCUGUUGAUGGAUACUGACGUUUCGAGUUUCUCAUUUUCGCCUGCCACAAAAUACUAUUGUGAUUUCUUCUAAACAUUAAUAUAUAAGCCAUCUUAGCACAUGAGCUAUACAGAGACAGGCUGUCUUUGUCAAAUAAAUAAAAUCUUAAAAAAAAAAAAAAGAAUCCCUCUCUUGGGGCGCCUGGGUGGCUCAGUCAUUAAGCGUCUGCCUUCGGCUCAGGUCGUGAUCCCAGGCGGAGAGCUUGCUUCUCCCACUCUCCCUGCUUGUUUUCCCUCUCUCACUGUCUCUCUCUGUCA
rnacentral:lncRNA from 1 species